GUGCGUGUGAUGAAGAAAAUCAGUAUGAAUAAAGUCAUGAUACUGUAAACGCUUUCUGAUGUA
ensembl:snoRNA